GACGAACGCUUUCGGCGUGCUUAACACAUGCAAGUCGAACGGAAAGGCCCUGCUUUUGUGGGGUGCUCGAGUGGCGAACGGGUGAGUAACACGUGAGUAACCUGCCCUUGACUUUGGGAUAACUUCAGGAAACUGGGGCUAAUACCGGAUAGGAGCUCCUGCUGCAUGGUGGGGGUUGGAAAGUUUCGGCGGUUGGGGAUGGACUCGCGGCUUAUCAGCUUGUUGGUGGGGUAGUGGCUUACCAAGGCUUUGACGGGUAGCCGGCCUGAGAGGGUGACCGGCCACAUUGGGACUGAGAUACGGCCCAGACUCCUACGGGAGGCAGCAGUGGGGAAUAUUGCACAAUGGGCGGAAGCCUGAUGCAGCAACGCCGCGUGCGGGAUGACGGCCUUCGGGUUGUAAACCGCUUUCGCCUGUGACGAAGCGUGAGUGACGGUAAUGGGUAAAGAAGCACCGGCUAACUACGUGCCAGCAGCCGCGGUGAUACGUAGGGUGCGAGCGUUGUCCGGAUUUAUUGGGCGUAAAGGGCUCGUAAGGUGGUUGAUCGCGUCGGAAGUGUAAUCUUGGGGCUUAACCCUGAGCGUGCUUUCGAUACGGGUUGACUUGAGGAAGGUAGGGGAGAAUGGAAUUCCUGGUGGAGCGGUGGAAUGCGCAGAUAUCAGGAGGAACACCAGUGGCGAAGGCGGUUCUCUGGGCCUUUCCUGACGCUGAGGAGCGAAAGCGUGGGGAGCGAACAGGCUUAGAUACCCUGGUAGUCCACGCUGUAAACGGUGGGUACUAGGUGUGGGGUCCAUUCCACGGGUUCCGUGCCGUAGCUAACGCUUUAAGUACCCCGCCUGGGGAGUACGGCCGCAAGGCUAAAACUCAAAGGAAUUGACGGGGCCCCGCACAAGCGGCGGAGCAUGCGGAUUAAUUCGAUGCAACGCGUAGAACCUUACCUGGGUUUGACAUGGAUCGGGAGUGCUCAGAGAUGGGUGUGCCUCUUUUGGGGUCGGUUCACAGGUGGUGCAUGCCUGUCGUCAGCUCGUGUCGUGAGAUGUUGGGUUAAGUCCCGCAACGAGCGCAACCCUUGUUCACUGUUGCCAGCACGUUAUGGUGGGGACUCAGUGGAGACCGCCGGGGUCAACUCGGAGGAAGGUGGGGAUGACGUCAAGUCAUCAUGCCCCUUAUGUCCAGGGCUUCACGCAUGCUACAAUGGCUGGUACAGAGAGUGGCGAGCCUGUGAGGGUGAGCGAAUCUCGGAAAGCCGGUCUCAGUUCGGAUUGGGGUCUGCAACUCGACCUCAUGAAGUCGGAGUCGCUAGUAAUCGCAGAUCAGCAACGCUGCGGUGAAUACGUUCCCGGG
rnacentral:rRNA from 1 species